UACGUAGGUGGCAAGCGUUGUCCGGAUUUACUGGGCGUAAAGGGCGUGCAGGCGGUUUGUUAAGGCUAGGGUGAAAGCUCCCGGCUCAACUGGGAGAGGUCCUUGGAUACUGGCGAACUUGAGGGAUGCAGAGGAAAGUGGAAUUCCCGGUGUAGUGGUGAUAUGCGUAGAUAUCGGGAGGAACACCAGUGGCGAAGGCGGCUUUCUGGGCAUUUCCUGACGCUGAGACGCGAAAGCGUGGGGAGCGAACCGG
rnacentral:rRNA from 1 species